rnacentral:rRNA from 1 species
GACAGGAGCCCAAGCGUUAGGUCGGAAUCACUGGGCUUAAAGCGUGUGUAGGCGGAUCGUUAAGUGUCGUUGUAGAACUCCACGGCUCAACCGUGGAACUGGCUGGGUAUACGUGGCGGUCUUGGGGCCACCUAGGGGUCAAUCGGAACAGGCGGUGGAGCGGAUGAAUGCGUAGAUAUCGCCUGGAACGCCGACGGUGAAAACAGAUGACUGGGGGUGUGCCGACGCUGAGAACACGAA